rnacentral:lncRNA from 1 species
UGGGCAGGAACUGGGAACCUCUGUGGAACUUUUACUUUUUCUUUUUUUUUGGCCCUGAGCUAACACCUGUUGCCAAUCUUUAUUUUUUUCCUUCUUCUCCCCAAAGCCCCAGGACAUAGUUGUCUAUUCUAGUUGUAGGUCCCUCUAGUUCCUCUAUGUGGGACGCUGCCUCAGGAUGGCACUAUGAGUCGUGCUAUGCCCACACAGGAUCCAAACUGGCUGCCAAACCCUGGGCUGCCAGAGCGGAGCCCUGAACUUAACCACUCAGCACUGGCCCCCCUGGAGACUUUUUCUAUAAAGGCAGCCCCCAGUCUUUGUUCUCGAAGAGCAGACUUUCAGUUUGCUGCUGACGGCUACAGCGUCCCAAGUUUUCAAACUUUGCGAGCAAUAAAGCCUUCCUCACUGGAUUCUGGUAUUCCAGAGACUAAAGCCUUUCUCACUGAAUUCUGGUGUUCCAGAGACUAAAGCCUUCCUCGCUGAAUUCCGGUGUUCCUGAGAAUAAAGCCUUCCUCACUGAAUUCCGGUGUUCCGGAGACUAAAGCCUUCCUCACUGGAUUCCGGUGUUCCUGAGACUAAAGCCUUCCUCACUGGAUUCCGGUGUUCCUGAGACUAAAGCCUUCCUCACUGGAUUCCGGUGUUCCUGAGACUAAAGCCUUCCUCACUGGAUUCCGGUGUUCCGGAGACUAAAGCCUUCCUCACUGAAUUCCGGUGUUCCGGAGACUAAAGCCUUCCUCGCUGAAUUCUGCAGAUAUUGUUCCAUUUGACCUGGAGAAAGUCUGAUUCCACCUGAGGCCCAUAUCCCCCAGGCACCUCUCCGGAAGCCAAUCCACUCCAGACUCCAGAGGCCUCAUCUCCGACACCUGUGGACACCUGAUGAAAACAGUCUCUCCUUGAUAUAUGAUUCUUAGGUUUUAAUAUGUGGGAUAUCUUAUUGGAUCCAUAAUGCCAAAGAAAACAGUUUUGCCUCUCAUCACUGAAUUCUACGUGGGACACCUACCACAGCAUGGGUUUUGCCAAGUGAUGCCAUGUCUGCACCUGGGAUCCAAACCAGCGAACCCUGGGCUGCCGAGAAGCGGAACUUUCAAACUUAACCACUGUGCCACUGGGCUGGCCCUAAUGACAUUUUUAAGACUCUACAAACCCAAAGUCACAAAG